rfam:Kurthia sp. 11kri321, complete genome.
AACAACUGAUAUUAUGACACCACGGCGGAGAACCCAAAUAAUCUCCGUGACUAGAUGGAAGCUAAUACUCCCACAUGCAAUACUGGUAACAGAUUGUGUGAAGUUGGGUGAAGACGCAUUAAGUAGCCCUAACAGGUCAAGCUGAGGAAAGGUUAAACAUACUGUGAACAUGGUGCGGGCUGGGAACUG